rnacentral:rRNA from 1 species
UACGUAGGGGGCAAGCGUUGUCCGGAAUCAUUGGGCGUAAAGCGCGUGUAGGCGGCUCGAUAAGUCUGCUGUGAAAGUCCAGGGCUCAACCCUGGGAUGCCGGUGGAUACUGUCGAGCUGGAGUCCGGAAGAGGAGUGUGGAAUUCCUGGUGUAGCGGUGAAAUGCGCAGAUAUCAGGAGGAACACCAAUGGCGAAGGCAGCACUCUGGGACGUGACUGACGCUGAGACGCGAAAGCGUGGGGAGCGAACAGG